rnacentral:rRNA from 1 species
CUACGGGAGGCUGCAGUGGGGAAUAUUGGACAAUGGGGGAAACCCUGAUCCAGCAAUGCCGCGUGUGUGAAGAAGGCCUGCGGGUUGUAAAGCACUUUCGGUCGGGAGGACUGCUUCUAGCACUAAUAUUGUUGGAAGUUGACGUUACCUUCAGAAGAAGCACCGGCUAACUCCGUGCCAGCAGCCGCGGUAAUACGGAGGGUGCAAGCGUUAAUCGGAAUUACUGGGCGUAAAGCGCGCGUAGGCGGCUAGAUCAGUCGGGUGUGAAAGCCCCGGGCUUAACCUGGGAACUGCAUCCGAUACUGUCUAGCUUGAGUACAGGAGAGGAGAGUGGAAUUCCACAUGUAGCGGUGAAAUGCGUAGAUAUGUGGAGGAACACCAAUGGCGAAGGCAGCUCUCUGGCCUGAUACUGACGCUGAGGUGCGAAAGCGUGGGGAUCAAACAGGAUUAGAUACCCCGUAGUC